rnacentral:lncRNA from 1 species
UCCAUUGACAAUAGCCAAUUGUAGUCUCAUUAACAACCCAUGAGGGCAACAAUUCUUCAUCUGGGAAGUUUAUAUUUGCUUUGAGGUGCAAAAGAGCAACCUUCUCUUCCUUCCAACACCCUAAACAAUACCAUCCAUUUAGUAAUGAAAGCAACAUCAUCACCAGCAUUGCCAAUAACUUAAUUCCCAUCUUUCUUAAAUACUAAACCACGAAUUCUUACUUUUCUAGAUAAACAAGGUUGUAAACUCUCCAAUUUAUAGCAUUAAGUGGAUUUACCGUGUUAGGUGGUUCAUUUUUAAUUAUAGACUUUUCCUCGAAGUUGUAAAAUUCUU